rnacentral:rRNA from 1 species
GACGGAGGGGGCAAGCGUUGUUCGGAAUUAUUGGGCGUAAGGCUCGUAGGCUGGCGUGUAAGUCUGGCGUGAAAUCUCCACCGCUCACCGGGGAGAGGCCGCUGGAUACUGCACGUCUGGAGUUCGGCAGAGGACUAUGGAAUUUCGGGUGUAGCGGUGGAAUGCGUAGAUAUCGGAAGGAACAUCAGUGGCGAAAGCGACUUCCUGGACCAGAACUGACGUUCAGG